AUCCAGCGGACGAGUCUCAAAUAUGACGAAACGCGCUUUCUGAAU
rfam:Schistosoma curassoni strain Dakar, Senegal genome assembly, scaffold: SCTD_scaffold0000801